GUCCUCGGAGACAAGGCGGUACAGGAGAACGUACCCACGACUUUGACGGUGGCCUUCUCGCAGUUAAGGCUCUGCUCAUCCCUUACUUCCCCUCUCCCCGUCUUAUUAGGGUUUCUGCAAGUUCUUGAUUUAGGAUGGAGAAAUCGUGUGCUCAGUGUUGCAACUCACGAAAUUGAUUUAUGUUGUGCCUGUGAUUUUUGGGUUUGAGAUUGCGAGGUCGAUCUAUUGUUUAAAAUUUGCACCUCUAGAAAGGUUUGGACAGAGGAGUUAUCAAGACAGCAAUUGUCAGUUUGUCACCUGUUCGCCAAUAGUUUCAGACUUUCAGUAGUACAGUCAGUGUAGACAUCUAUUCCAUAUUGCACCUCAUUGGCCAAAUUGAUAGUUUUGAUUCUAACUUUCUCGAACCUGGUAGCUUUCAUAUGCCAGUGAGCAGAUUGUGCACAGCAGUCCUGCGGAGAGAUAAUUCCCAGCCAUCAAUAUUCAGUUGGAUAAGUACUUCUGGUCAACAACACUGGAUUAUCUAAUGCUAACUUUCUCGAACCUCUGAACACCUGUGAGUGAUGCCUCUUUAAAAACGAAUGGUUUGCUUACCCUGCUGAGAGAACGUGAUCGGGCUGAGCAGGCCGGCCGACGACACCUUGUCUUUCCCUCUGCAUCUCUCUUCCCUAUUUCUCUGGCUUUUCUAGCUUCUCACUUGAAUGCUGUGUUCCUCUACAGAUAUUCUUUGACAUUGCAUUGCAGGUGUUCAAGCAUAGAUUCCAGAUUUUGUCAACAACUUGGGCCCCGUAAUUGCUUUCUCAAUUAGCUUUUAGCUUCUUACAUGAUGUUAUACUAUUAUCAGUUGUUUGACCCUUCAUUGUGUGUAGCGGCGUCGCCAGCAGCACUACCGUGCAUGCCCUGUUGCCGGGUACACUUUACCUCCCAUCCCUCUCCUUAGUUUAUCUUCUCUCAUGUGCAACAACCUUCUAUCCUAGUACAGAUGCAGCUUGGGGGUUGGCGGUUGCGGCGUGGAGUACUCCGGGGGCGACACUACCAUGGUGGGUCAUCCAUCCAGCAAGAGGAAGAAGGUGCAAGCGCCGCCGUCCGCUGGAUCCCAUUCGUGAUCCCUCGCCCAGGAUGUGGUUGAAACAUUAACCAUGGAGGCAAUUUCCGACCUUACUGUUCGUGAAGGAUGUUAAGAAGCUCGGCACCGUCGUUAGUGUCCACAUGUUGUAUCCGCGUGGGUUGACUGAACUUUGUGUUGAUUCAGUAUAGAGCUCUGAACUUCAGAUAUUGCCACCCUAGAUGCUCUAAAAUUUCUUGUGUUCUACGGUCACUUGUUGUGUGUGAAGUUUAGAUCUGAUCGUCUUAUAAAAA